rnacentral:rRNA from 1 species
GACGAACGCUGGCGGCGUGCUUAACACAUGCAAGUCGAACGGUGAAGCUCCAGCUUGCUUGAUCGGAUCAUUGGCGAACGGGUGAGUAACACGUGAGCAACCUCCCCCAGACUCUGUAAUAAGCCUUGGAAACGCCGUCUAAUACUGGAUACGAUAUCAAGCCGCACGGUUUUGGUUUGGAAAGUUGUUCGUUUUGGGAUGGUCUCGCUGCCUACCAGCUUGUUUGUGAGGUAAGGGCUCACCAAGGCGACGACGGGUAGCCGGCCUGAGAGGGCGACCGGCCACACUGGGACUGAGACACGGACCAGACUGCUACGGGACGCAGCAGUGGAGAAUAUUGCAGAAUGGGCGAAAGCCAGAUGCAGAGACGCCGCGAGAGGGAUGACGGCCUUCGAGGUAUAAACCAAUGUCAGAAGGGAAAAAGAGAAAGUGACGGUACCUGCAGAAGAAGCAACGGCUAACUACGUG